rnacentral:tmRNA from 1 species
GGGGGCGAAACAGGAUCGACGAGGGCGUAAAGGGCUCGCUUUUUCCCGGUAUGGUUCCGCCGUUAUCGGGCUAUGCAAUAGUUGCAAACGACAACUAUGCUCCGGUUGCUCAGGCUGCGUAACGCAGUUUGAAAGACCACUCUGAAGCCCUGACGGGUUAAGCUCCGUCAGGCGGGGUCCGGAGGCACCUGGCAACAGAAGCCUCCACU